GGGGGGUUAGAAUUUCCUUUUUAUGUUUUUUUUAGGAGCAAAAUGAACAAGUUAGUAUUAAGUGUGAUGCUAUCAUUUACUUCCUUUGUCCCAUUUGUCCCAUUUUAUAUGAUGGUGUUUGAUUGGACUUUGGGAAGGAAGGAAGAAAGACUUUUGAAACUUAUGGGUAGCGCGAUGCACUUAGCUUCCGUUGUGUGCUGGAUCUAUAAGGCAUUUCUGCAAGAGGCCGGCUCGAACUCGUGACCUCCGGGUGACAUCGCAUCAACUUUACCAGUUACGUCAAGACUCCCUUCACUUUUGAAACGUGUGUUCUAUAAUAAAUAUCUCAUCCGUGUGCUAUGAAUAUCUCAUCCAUGUGCUAUAAGUAUAUCAGAGGCUAAAAUGAAAAAGUUUAAACAUGAAUUAUUUAUAUAUAUAAAGAGGUGUCAGUUCUUUUAGAAGAGACACUGAAAAUGGAAGUGUAUGGACAGAGAGAGUAGUUUAUUCGAUAUUAGGGUAUGUUUAAGCAAAAUUUCUUGGUUACUAGUUCUCAAGUUCCAGUUAAUUUCAAGUACAAAAGGGUUCAAAAUUCAAGGACGGAUUUAGUUUUUAAGCAGUAGAUGUCAUAGCACACUGGCUUCGACUUGAACUGUAUAUGUAGUUGAGCAAUUUUUAAAGAAGUAUAUAUUUCUUAUGAAUUUCGCUUGCUGCCGCUGACGAAGGCUGGGUGAAGUAAAAGCAAGCAACAAAAAUGAAAGCAAAAGAUAUGUGGUAUUGAUGAUCCAUUGUAUAGAAUAUAAACCAAAAAUUCUAGGGACUUGAAUCCUUGCUAUUAUCAAUUGAGUAAUCAGUAUCCAGGAAGAAUUCAAUAGAAUUUUUUUCGAGAAGAAGACCGAGAACCCAAGUAAGAAUUCAAUACCGAAUUAAUAGAAGCGAGUAACGGAUCCAAUUAAUGAAGAUUCAUGCUUAGACUCGACUAUAGCCCAGAAGAAAGAUGAAGGGGAAACUCAUGCAAGUAAUCAUACUUCAAAGUGAUCCAAGUAAGAUUCGAAGAAGUAGAGAAUGAAGGAAUUGGGCAGAGAAAGAAGGGAGGGGGCGAUGCUCAAUACCUCAGUAGAGGGUCUUCUUCAAGCUAACACUUGCGCCAAUGUUUUGUUCAUCAAAGUAUUUUUGCUAAUUGCAAUGAGAUCUAUCUAUUUAUUCGGAUGAAGAUGAGAUCUAUCUAUUUAUUGCAGUGCUAUGACCUACACCCAUUAGGAUAAUAAUGUAAGGCAUUGGACUUCAAAAAAUUAAGCUUAAAAUAACAAACUAGGAUUUAGGCUGUGAUCAGCAAAAGAAGAGGGGAUGCAUUUGCGAUGACUACUGGUGCAUACGCGCAAAGUAGAUUUGUAAAAUCCUGGGAGGUUUCUAGAGUGACUAGAAGAACACAUCUUAGAGUGAUGCAUUCACCUCUCCUCUCAACUGUUCAGUGUUGCUUGAAAAGAUUAGCAUAACUGCACUGGUUGCAUUAGCAUUUCAAGGCUGCGCUUCCUGAUGGCUAUGAAAUGCUUUAGAUGCAUUUACAUCUAGUGGGGAUGCGAUAGCAUCUCUAAAAUUGUUGUUCUUUUGUUUUUAUUCAGAGUUCUGAAUCUGUAAAAGUUACUUCCUUCAAGCAUCGUUCUCUGUGUGUGUGUGUGUGUGUGAGUGAGAGAGAGAGAGAGAGAGAUAUCCUUUCUUGGGGAAGAUUCAACAUCCCCGAGUCCGCAUCAGCCACAGAAUAGUAAGUGGGUGCAUAAAUAAUUUACACCCGUUAUUAGAAUGCCAGAUUCGCCCUGGUUGGAAUGAGCAUUCUUAAAGAAAAGCUGAUAUCUAGAUUUGAAUGUCUUAUAAACAGUUAUUCAUUGUCAAACUUGUCAAAGGAAUGUGUAAAGUUGCUUGAAUGUGUGUCUCCUUGGCACAUAGAGAUUGUUUGACUGGCGAAGAUGGACCUUAAGGAGAAGAACCCUCUCUUAAAGAGUGUUAUUGGGACAGUUCAUCGGGGAAGGGAUUAAAAAGAGUUUCAUUAGGACAUCUAGUUUGGUGGAUCAGAGUUAUGCCUGAAGGCUAAGCAUUCAAUUGAAGAACUAUUGCGAUUUUGCUUCGGAAGUUCUUUCACAGUUAAGAAGUUGGUGGUGCUCUGAAGCUGUCUUGCAAGUUGCAAGCACUUCUUCAAACAAGGUGUGAUCAAAGGCGAAUUUAGUAUUUGAACAUUAUGGCUUCAAGUUCGGGAUUCUAUCACAGCCCAUUUGAGUAUACCAUAUGUAUAUGUAUUUUAGAACUCCUUCUAACGACUUAUGCGUUUUGUUGGGUUCGAACUUUAUUAUUUUUAUUUAUUUGGUGGAUUUCUUAACACAUAUAUAGGGUCCGAGCAAAAGCUAUUAGGUUCCAAUGAAUCCAUAAGUUACCCUCCAUAUCAGCCCCUGGGUGUGACACAAACUGUCAGAAAGAUAUUUAAUUUAUUUUGUGCACUACCAUGGCAUGUGAUAGUACAAAUCAGAAGAGAGUAUAUGGUUCAAAGAGUGCAACUGGCUGGAGUUUAAACUUUUAUUCCACACUGGUGGUACUGUGUACACCACCCNNN
rnacentral:lncRNA from 1 species